GGAGCGGCUUCUCAUCAGAAAAACAGAACUUUCAGUGCCUGACUUGAGAUGUAAACUUGAUGUACAAACGGAGAGUUGUUUAUCUUUCAGAUGUUUCACAGAAUCCAGUGUCCCCGGGUUGGAUAAGAAAGAUAUGGGAAAAAUUAUUUUAGUUUUGGAAAGAUCCUCUUCAGAAAUACCACUAUCUUCCUGAAGUUUGAUGGAGAACCUUGUGACCUGUCUUUGAAUAUAACCUGGUAUCUGAAAAGCGCUGAUUGUUACAAUGAAAUCUAUAACUUCAAGGCAGAAGAAGUAGAGUUGUAUUUGGAAAAACUUAAGGAAAAAAGAGGCUUGUCUGGGAAAUAUCAAACAUCAUCAAAAUUGUUCCAGAACUGCAGUGAACUCUUUAAAACACAGACUAGGAGGAUUGGUUGGUCUUUUCUUGGAUUUGAUUAUGGAAAGCUACCUGAUGCAUCUGGUUGCUGGAGGCUGACUACUUUUAGAUGUGCUGUAAUCUUUCCAGGGUCUUGGCUUAUUGACCUUUUCUGGAGAUUUUAUGCAUCGACUGCCUCUUUUAGGAGAAAAACAGGAGGCUAAGGAGAAUGGAACAAACCUUACCUUUAUUGGAGACAAAACCGCAAUGCAUGAACCAUUGCAAACUUGGCAAGAUGCACCAUACAUUUUUAUUGUACAUAUUGGCAUUUCAUCCUCAAAGGAAUCAUCAAAAGAAAAUUCACUGAGUAAUCUUUUUACCAUGACUGUUGAAGUGAAGGGUCCCUAUGAAUACCUCACACUUGAAGACUAUCCCUUGAUGAUUUUUUUCAUGGUGAUGUGUAUUGUAUAUGUCCUGUUUGGUGUUCUGUGGCUGGCAUGGUCUGCCUGCUACUG
rnacentral:lncRNA from 1 species